rnacentral:tRNA from 1 species
UCCCUGGUGGCUAAGUGGUAAAGAAUCUGCCUGCUGACACAGGAGACACAGGUUCAAUCCCUGAUCUGGGAA